rnacentral:rRNA from 1 species
GACGAACGCUGGCGGCGUGCCUAAUACAUGCAAGUAGAACGCUGAAGGAGGAGCUUGCUCUUCUGGAUGAGUUGCGAACGGGUGAGUAACGCGUAGGUAACCUGCCUGGUAGCGGGGGAUAACUAUUGGAAACGAUAGCUAAUACCGCAUAAGAGUAGAUGUUGCAUGACAUUUGCUUAAAAGGUGCAAUUGCAUCACUACCAGAUGGACCUGCGUUGUAUUAGCUAGUUGGUGGGGUAACGGCUCACCAAGGCGACGAUACAUAGCCGACCUGAGAGGGUGAUCGGCCACACUGGGACUGAGACACGGCCCAGACUCCUACGGGAGGCAGCAGUAGGGAAUCUUCGGCAAUGGACGGAAGUCUGACCGAGCAACGCCGCGUGAGUGAAGAAGGUUUUCGGAUCGUAAAGCUCUGUUGUAAGAGAAGAACGAGUGUGAGAGUGGAAAGUUCACACUGUGACGGUAGCUGACCAGAAAGGGACGGCUAACUACGUG